CAGCAGCCGCGGUAAUGCGUAGGGUGCGAGCGUUAAUCGGAAUUACUGGGCGUAAAGCGUGCGCAGGCGGUUGUGUAAGACAGGCGUGAAAUCCCCGGGCUUAACCUGGGAACUGCGCUUGUGACUGCACAGCUAGAGUAUGGCAGAGGGGGGUGGAAUUCCACGUGUAGCAGUGAAAUGCGUAGAGAUGUGGAGGAACACCGAUGGCGAAGGCAGCCCCCUGGGCCAAUACUGACGCUCAUGCACGAAAGCGUGGGGAGCAAACAGGAUUAGAGACCCGUGUAGUCCCUGUCUCUUAUAC
rnacentral:rRNA from 1 species